rnacentral:rRNA from 1 species
AUUGAACGCUGGCGGCAGGCCUAACACAUGCAAGUCGAACGAGUGGCGGACGGGUGAGUAAUGUCUGUGAAACUGCCUGAUGUAGGGGGAUAACUACUGGAAACGGUAGCUAAUACCGCAUACCAUCGGAUGUUCCCCGAUGGGAUUAGCUUGUUGGUGGGGUAACGGGUUACCAAGGCGACGAUCCCUAGCUGGUCUGAGAGGAUGACAAGGCAACCGGGAACUGAGACACGGUCCAGACUCCCACGGGAGGAAGCAGGGGGGAAUAGUGCACAAUGGGAGCAAGCCUGAUGCAGCCAUGCAGCGUGGAUGAAGAAGGCCUUCGGGUUGUAAAGUACUUUAAGCGGGGAGGCGUUACCCGCAGAAGAAGCACCGGCUAACUCCGUGCCAGCCGCCGCGGUAAUUC